AUGGUUUUGUGUCCUGUGUGAGUCUCUGUGUUCCCCUGCGACAGACUAGCGACCUGUCCAGGGUGACCCCACCUCUCUCCCGGAAGGUUAGCUGGAGAUGGGCACCAGCAACCCUCCCGACCCCACCAAG